GUGCUUCGGCAGCACAUAUACUAAAAUUGGAACGAUACAGAGAAGAUUAGCAUGGCCCCUGCGCAAGAGAGUGGUUUAUAAAUAAUUGUUUAAAUAAAUAACU